rnacentral:rRNA from 1 species
UACGAAGGGGCUAGCGUUGUUCGGAAUCACUGGGCGUAAAGGGCGCGUAGGCGGUCUGUCAAGUCCGGGGUGAAAGCCCCCAGCUCAACUGGGGAAGUGCCUCGGAUACUGGCGGACUCGAGGGAGGCAGGGGUCGUGGGAACUUCCGGUGGAGCGGUGAAAUGCGUAGAUAAUCGAGAGGAACACCUGCGGCGAAGGCGG